AAAGAGGGUGUUGGAGUGGGGGAGGGGCGGUGGCAUUCACUGCGGAGAACGGAGCCAUUGGAAGGGGUGUGUGGGCGGGGACGAGAGUCCCAGGACUCAAAAUGCCUAGGAGUGAGGACCCACAGAACUGUCCCUGCUGAGAAGGGCUGGAGAGACCUAUGGGAUCAACUUCCUCCUGUUCCGGGUGAGGAGACAGCCUGAGGUCAUUCAUUCAGCUGGCUGAUAUUAAUAGAACACCACUUCUGACUUACUGAGCGUCUACUAUGAGAAUCCCCUAAUCUCCAUCAUCACAGCGAUCCCAUUUUACCGAAAAGGAAACUGGAGAUACACACGGGAGCAGAAAGCAAUGAGGCCUAUUUUGGCCUGUAAUCCAGACGAUCUGGUCAGAUUCCAGCUUUGCUUCACCAGGAGAUCCACGUAUGACCUUGAGAAAGUCACCAACCAUGAUGCUUCUGUCUCAUCUUCUCUAAACGGAGACUGUAUAAUUACUCAACCUCCUCAGCCCAUUUGAUUCUAAAAUCCUAUUAUUCAAUGUUGGUGACUCUAAGAAAUGUACAGACUAGAAGAUCCAAAGCAAGUUCUAUUUAAAGUUUCUUCAAAGAAAAAAAAAUGACCUCUAUUAAAACUAAAAUAAUAAAUUUAUUAUUAAUCUA